AGGUCUUGACAUACUCGUGCUAUUCCUAGAGAUAGGAAGUUCCUUCGGGACACGGGAUACAGGUGGUGCAUGGUUGUCGUCAGCUCGUGUCGUGAGAUGUUGGGUUAAGUCCCGCAACGAGCGCAACCCCUAUUGUUAGUUGCCAUCAUUAAGUUGGGCACUCUAACGAGACUGCCGGUGAUAAACCGGAGGAAGGUGGGGAUGACGUCAAAUCAUCAUGCCCCUUAUGACCUGGGCUACACACGUGCUACAAUGGAUGGUACAACGAGUCGCGAGACAGUGAUGUUUAGCUAAUCUCUUAAAACCAUUCUCAGUUCGGAUUGUAGGCUGCAACUCGCCUACAUGAAGUCGGAAUCGCUAGUAAUCGCGGAUCAGCACGCCGCGGUGAAUACGUUCCCGGGCC
rnacentral:rRNA from 1 species